rnacentral:rRNA from 1 species
GGUGGCGAGUGGCGAACGGGUGAGUAAUAUAUCGGAACGUGCCCAGUCGUGGGGGAUAACGUAGCGAAAGCUACGCUAAUACCGCAUACGAUCUAUGGAUGAAAGCGGGGGACUCGUAAGGGCCUCGCGCGAUUGGAGCGGCUGAUAUCAGAUUAGGUAGUUGGUGGGGUAAAGGCCUACCAAGCCUGCGAUCUGUAGCUGGUCUGAGAGGACGACCAGCCACACUGGAACUGAGACACGGUCCAGACUCC